AGUAAAAUUUUCCUCUUGAUGGGAGGAAAAAGGUUAUUAACCUUUUACUU
rnacentral:tRNA from 1 species